rnacentral:tRNA from 1 species
GGGAGACAAACAAUAGAUCUUGAUGUUUGAUUAUUACUAUUAUUAGACCAAGAUCCUGUCACCUUAGGUCGAUCGGUACCUCAAAUUAAUUAUGUUUAGCCCUUCAAUCAUGAAGAGCUUAAUUAUUGAUUUCAGUUCCUAAACUUGUCUAGGUCACACCCCGUAAAGGUUACUCCUGGGCCAUUAGCUCAGGUGGUUAGAGCGCACCCCUGAUAAGGGUGAGGUCCCUGGUUCAAGUCCAGGAUGGCCCAUUCGGUUUUGGGGGUAUAGCUCAGUUGGUAGAGCGCCUGCUUUGCAAGCAGGAUGUCAGCGGUUCGAGUCCGCUUACCUCCACUGGCCGACCCCUAAAAGAGCUAUUGAGCUUCUAGAGCCUUUGUGAGAUGUGAUUUAGAUAGUCCGCUGAUGGAACCCAACUUCCUCUCAUCCCCUGUCUUGAUUAGGCAAGGUUGAAAGGACGCUGGGCUCACUCCAAUCCUUGAUAGGGUUAGGAGGUAUGUUCAGCAGAACCUUGACAACUGCAUAGUGAGUCUGGAAAAAAUAAAGCAUCUCAUGGAUACAUUGCUUUUCUUUUGUUUUUUAGCUUUUAGCUUAAAGACUUAAGAGAAUACAGUGUUAAUUCUUGAGCAAGAGCCGAGACUUUAUAGCUUUCCCUUUUUAUGUAUUUUACAUAGAGAGUUUGAUUGAUAAUUCACAACUUUUCUAGCUGAAUUUCUCAGUUAUUAUGUAGUGAAUUGUCGAGAAUUAUGUUUUCAACUACAUAAAUUGCUAUAGAGAAUAAUUGGUCAAGCUACAA